rnacentral:rRNA from 1 species
UACGGAGGGUGCAAACGUUGCUCGGAUUUAUUGGGCGUAAAGAGCGUGUAGGCGGCUUGGUAGGUCCGCUGUGAAAACUCGAGGCUCAACCUCGAGAUGUCGGCGGAAACCACUUGGCUAGAGUCCGGAAGAGGAGAGUGGAAUUCCCGGUGUAGCGGUGAAAUGCGCAGAUAUCGGGAAGAACACCUAUGGCGAAGGCAGCUCUCUGGGACGGUACUGACGCUGAGACGCGAAAGCGUGGGGAGCGAACAGG